rnacentral:rRNA from 1 species
AGCUUGCUUCUUUGCUGACGAGUGGCGGACGGGUGAGUAAUGUCUGGGAAACUGCCUGAUGGAGGGGGAUAACUACUGGAAACGGUAGCUAAUACCGCAUAACGUCGCAAGACCAAAGAGGGGGACCUUCGGGCCUCUUGCCAUCGGAUGUGCCCAGAUGGGAUUAGCUGUGGUGGGGUAACGGCUCACCUAGGCGACGAUCCCUAGCUGGUCUGAGAGGAUGACCAGCCACACUGGAACUGAGACACGGUCCAGACUCCUACGGGAGGCAGCAGUGGGGAAUAUUGCACAAUGGGCGCAAGCCUGAUGCAGCCAUGCCGCGUGUAUGAAGAAGGCCUUCGGGUUGUAAAGUACUUUCAGCGGGGAGGAAGGGAGUAAAGUUAAUACCUUUGCUCAUUGACGUUACCCGCAGAAGAAGCACCGGCUAACUCCGUGCCAGCAGCCGCGGUAAUACGGAGGGUGCAAGCGUUAAUCGGAAUUACUGGGCGUAAAGCGCACGCAGGCGGUUUGUUAAGUCAGAUGUGAAAUCCCCGGGCUCAACCUGGGAACUGCAUCUGAUACUGGCAAGCUUGAGUCUCGUAGAGGGGGGUAGAAUUCCAGGUGUAGCGGUGAAAUGCGUAGAGAUCUGGAGGAAUACCCGGUGGCGAAGGCGGCCCCCUGACGAAGAC